GUUGUACAAACGUGGUUCAUCCUCGGAUCAACGUUUGAACUCGGUUCAACUCAUUUGCAGUGUUGUACAAUCGAGGUUCAGGUCUUAACCCACUGCUGAACCAAGAUCAAAAGUUACCCACCGAUAUUGGUGGGUUAGCAGUGGUUCAGCCAUGGAUCAGAACAAGGAUUAAUUUUGUGAAACAAAAUCCAAAAUUACUAAAUUAUAGAGAAAACAAAAACCUCUGAAUAUAUUUGUUAUAAUUAAGAACAAUGUGCCUGUCGAUAAAAUUGCUGAUGAUAAUACAAAAUUGUUGCAGCAAUGUUUUCUUUAUUUUGGAUAAAGUUUGUUGAAGAGGCCAAAACUUAAAUUUUCAAACAAUCAAGACAUUUACUUCAUCUUUUUUCAUCAAACAAUCUUCUUGAAAAUAUUCAUCUCUAAUCCCGAUCUUGUUGGCAACAUGAUACUUAAAAUACAUAUGUUCAUUCAGAGGACGAAGACGAGCGUUUCCAAUAUAAAUAAUUCGGUCUCCUGACUUAUCUUUGGAAGCAGAGAAGAUGGAUUGAAUUUAAAAUUGCACAAAAGCAUAAAUUCUUUGGCUUGUUGAAUGUUGUGUGACAUCUUAACCCACCUGGCGUUUGGUUUUUUAUUUUCUUUGGACAUCUAACUGCAGUAGAAGACGUUCGAUCUUAAUCAGUCUACCAUUGGGAAAUAUUGAUAUGACUAGUCUUGAUAUUCCAAGAAAAGCUUAUAUGGGAGCAUUAAAACAGGAUCCUCUCACCGAAGAAUUGUCCCUACAACAUCCAAUGCGAUUGACUUUGCAGCUGGAUAUUUCAUUGUCUACCAAUCAAGCUGAAGCUUUACAAAAUUUUGGUUCAGAUUAAUUGCUACUGAUAUCCCCGUAACUGUUCAGGCGGUACUUAUUGCAAUCUUCCCAUAGGCAUAUGAAAAACUAGCUCACGCAAUCAAUACGAACGUCACAGAAAUUGUAAUGAUGGUCUUAGAGAAUUUGCUGCCAAAUUUGUACCAGAAAUGUCCGAUGCUUUGUUGUUUUUUGGCAUCAUCUUCUGGGACUUAAGUUUCUGAUUCAUAAAAUUAAAUCAAAGUGCUUUUAUUCACAGUACCUGGAGUUUGGUAUUAAUGAAUAAAUAAAAACAAAAUAAUGAAAACACAAAGUUGAAAAACAUAUU